GAAGAUGAAACUGGAAUGUGAUAGAUACCUUUCUGUUUGAUGUCUCUUUCUGUCCAAGGUGUGUUUUAAAAAUUAGUCCUGAAAUUUGGUAUUAAAUAGAUUUGAUGAGCUUAAGUAGUUAAGGGAACAUUCCUUACUUGAGAACUGAUGAAUGAGACUGAAAAAUAUGAGGCUGAAUUUAUUUCCUAGUCAGGCAACGUGCGUGUAUUCAGAAAGAGCUUACGCCUUUUUUUCCCCCCUCUUAAAAUUGAUUGCUUGAAGACUCCAUUUAUUGGUGUCCUUGUUUGCAAGGCAAUUAGGCCCAUCAUUGUAUUGCAGGCUAAUAAUCCUGAGAUGAAUCUUGGCACUACUGCUUUAUCUAAACAGAAGACAGGAAAUAUGGAAAAGUCAUAAAUAUUCAUUGGUGAGAUGGUUUGCUAUUGAUGGAGUUUUUCAUUUGAUUCUCUUUUGACAUUACUUGAUAAGAUUUAAAAUAAUUGGAUUGUAUUUCUAUAGAUUGAAUUUUCUUCCAAAGGAAUUCAGGUGGUUAGAAUUCUGUCAGAUGUAGAUAAAAACAUAGAAUC
rnacentral:lncRNA from 1 species